rnacentral:rRNA from 1 species
GAUGAACGCUAGCUACAGGCUUAACACAUGCAAGUCGAGGGGCAGCAUGGUCUUAGCUUGCUAAGGCCGAUGGCGACCGGCGCACGGGUGAGUAACACGUAUCCAACCUGCCGUCUACUCUUGGACAGCCUUCUGAAAGGAAGAUUAAUACAAGAUGGCAUCAUGAGUUCACAUGUUCACAUGAUUAAAGGUAUUCCGGUAGACGAUGGGGAUGCGUUCCAUUAGAUAGUAGGCGGGGUAACGGCCCACCUAGUCUUCGAUGGAUAGGGGUUCUGAGAGGAAGGUCCCCCACAUUGGAACUGAGACACGGUCCAAACUCCUACGGGAGGCAGCAGUGAGGAAUAUUGGUCAAUGGGCGAGAGCCUGAACCAGCCAAGUAGCGUGAAGGAUGACUGCCCUAUGGGUUGUAAACUUCUUUUAUAAAGGAAUAAAGUCGGGUAUGUAUACCCGUUUGCAUGUACUUGAUGAAUAAGGAUCGGCUAACUCCGUG